CUCUCUCUCCCUCCUCCAGCGAAAAGUCUCCUCCCCCUCGCCUCCUUUGACCUCCACCCCCCAUCUCUCUCUAUCUCUCUAUUUGUCUCUGCGAGACCGCCAUGGCCCUAUGAUCCCAUGGCGAGAGGAGCUCAACCCUAAUAGUAGCUUCGGUGUGGAGUCGUAGCGCUCUCUCUCUCACUCGGGCCCGUCUCCUUUCGGUAGGUAGUUGACCUCAUCCCAAGCAACCCCGUUUUCGUGGGGUUUUGGGGGCGUAAUCUCGAAGCCAUCAUCUUGAUGUUGAAGAAGGGGUGAGGUCGAAGAAGGUUUGGGUUGGUGAUUGGUGUGGGAGAGGCGAAAUGGGGGUGGCUCUUCUUUCUCUCCUGCUGACCCUUCUUCUAGGGCUUGGUCGGCCUUUGUGGGCGCUGAGGCCUUUACGGGAGAGGGCUUCUAAUGCUGUUGUUGGAUCUUGGGAUGAUGAGCAUGCUUUCCUUAAACGAGAGGAUGGUGAGCAAAGUCCCUAUUCUGAAUGGAAUAUUACAGGAACAUAUAAAGGAAGGUGGAGCUUUGAAGAGACAACAAAUGGGUCUUCUAGGUUUCUAGAAUUUGGAAAAUCUGAUGGUGUAUCCGUCUUGGAAUUAAUCAGUACUCCGACAAAGAUAAGAGGCGUACACUAUAUUCAGGGAUCAAUUACUUUUCAUGAUGUGUUUUACAACGAACAUGAUCAUGGAGUUGCUCAAAUAAGAGUAGAAGGUGUAUAUGUAUGGCCUUUCAGGCAACUACGAAUGGUAGCAAACAGUGGAGCAGAUGGUGAGCCACUUCAAGAAGAGGAAUACUUCUUAUCCAAUCCAUAUCAUUUGCUCGGAGUUUUCUCUUCUCAAGUGUUUCAAGAAUCUUCUAGAAGCAAAUAUCGGAGGAAAAACGCUCUCACGAAUGACAUGGAGAAACAUUGUAACAUAGAGAUAGCUGCUCAGGUUUCACGUGUCUCAUCUGGCCAAAAUGAGGGAGAUCAUGAAAGAUACCAUUUGGAGGGUUUAAUGGAUAGUCCUGCAGUUGAUGAUGAUGGGGAGUGUUUCUCACCAAUUCUACUUAAUGCAACUUCAUUAAAUAUUGAAGUUUAUUACAAUAAAGCAGUUAAUUAUACACUGAUGGUCACAUUUAUCUCGUUUCUUCAAGUACUACUGCUGAUUAGACAAAUGGAGCAUAGCAACACUCAGUCUGGUGCAGCUAAAGUGUCUCUCCUAAUGAUUGGCCAACAAGCUAUUAUGGAUGCCUACCUUUGUCUUUUGCAUUUGACUGCUGGGAUACUAGUUGAGUCACUCUUUAAUGCUUUUGCAACGGCGGCCUUUUUUAAAUUUGUCGUAUUUUCCAUAUUUGAGAUGAGAUAUCUUCUUGCAAUAUGGAAGGCGAGUAGACCUUUGAAUAGUGGAGAAGGUUGGGAAGCAAUGAGGCGCGAACUCUCUGUUCUGUAUAGUCGUUUCUAUGGCAUUCUAUUGGGAGGCAUACUUGUCAUGUAUGAGUUACACAAUUUCUUGCGCCCUAUUCUUUUUAUCAUGUAUUCAUUUUGGAUACCCCAAAUAGUGACAAAUGUCAUUCGCGACACGAGAAAGCCCCUGCACCCUUACUAUGUAUUAGGCAUGACUCUCACUCGGCUUGCUAUUCCAUUAUACAUUUUCGGUUGUCCAAACAAUUUCAUGCGCAUCGAGGCCGACCAGAAAUGGUGCAUAUUCUUGGUAGUAUUCAUGGGAAUUCAAGCAUCGAUCCUCCUCCUCCAGCAUUACCUGGGGUCUCGAUGGUUCAUUCCGCGUCAGAUCUUACCUGAAAAAUACAGCUACUAUAGGAAGCUCGAGAACAACGACACAAGUCAAGCUACAGAUUGUGUUAUUUGCAUGACCGCAAUCGACCUUUCACAAAGAUCAAACGACUACAUGGUGACUCCUUGCGAUCAUUUGUUCCAUUCUGGGUGCCUACAAAGAUGGAUGGACAUAAAGAUGGAGUGCCCUACGUGCCGCCGUUCUCUCCCCCCAGCAUAAGGAAUUAACCUUGGUUUGUAACAUAGUUGCCAAAUAAACACAUAGCUCAGCUUAUAGAGCUUGCUUUUUAUUGGUAAGAUGGACGGAAAUACGGUGGAGGGAUAUGAAAGUCGGUCAUCAUGUAUUCCUUAUUAGGUCUACAGAAAAUACUUGAUACAUUUGACCGAAAAAAAAAAAAACCAAAAAAUAUGGUAGUUUUCCGACUAGAAUUUCGUGAGUUCAUGUAUCAUAUCUAAUGUUGUAUAUUUCCCGGCAUUUAUCUUAAUCUAGUGCUUAUAAUGUACAUGGGUGUACUUUUUUCUUUAACAAUUUUAUUUUUAGUCCGAAAAGGACCUGUAAAAGCUGUUAUAUCCUGUUAUAUAACAAGUGUGUUAAAAAAACCUUUUGAAGUGAUUAGUGUAGCCGUACAUAAUCUUUUUAUUUUA